rnacentral:lncRNA from 1 species
UGUGGAGGAUUGGAUUCUUCCAUGGAACAUCGACAAUCUUUUCCACAUGAACCUAUCACCGCAUGAAUCUACCACCGAAAAAUGCUAAAUGGUAUGCAUGUGUAGUAAGUAGAUGCUAUACAUGGGCAUUUGAUGUGCCUUAAGAAAACCACUUAGUUUUCUAGAUCUGGGCUUCUGUUUUUGCAGUGGCGAUAGUUUGAAGCGCUCCACGCGUGUUUAGGCCGAGCUUGAUGUAAUUGAGCAAAUAGUCCUUGAAGACGACGGGUUUGUAGAGAGCUGGAUGGGACGAGCUGGGGGGAAGGAGCAAUCGGCAACGAUUUGGCUGGGCCCAUGAGCGUCGCGACUGAAAUCCGGAGCUUCUCCUUGUUUACCACUGCCCGGUACUCCACGCUAUGAUAUCUUCCAUUGCUUAUGAUCACUUACAAAACCAAUGAUUGGAUUCUACUGUUUGCUAUUGUUUGCUGUGUUCACGAUCUAAAAGUGUGCUAGGAGUGAAAAAAACAAUAUGACAAAUGAAAA